CAAUAUUUUGGCCCUGGCCCCUCAAGGUCAACAAAGAUCCAAGACAUAAGGGAACCUUCUCUACAGGAUCCUACAUCUUUGGAGCGGUUGCGGGCCUUUACCAAUCUGACAGUCAGCAAACUCAUUAUGGCCAGGUAUCAACCUCUUGCCACGGGAGACCAAACCACCAUAAUCACGUAGAACCCAGACCUGUUACCUUUUAUCACCGCCCCUGUGCCAGCAUGAAGCAGCUACAAAAAAGAGACCUCUGCCCCUAUUCCAUAAUACUGUCAAAGACUGGAAUGAUAAGAUUUUUCUGUUAGAUAAAAUGCCCCCUGCCUACAGGAAAUGAGUCACUCCAGAGAGAACAAAGGCUUGCUUUUUCCCUCCUUGCCUCCAGUCAUAGCCAAUCAUCUGCCUCCACCACACUCCCCCCAACCCUUAUAAACCUCACCCAGUCAGCCCCUGGUUGCUGCUCUCGCCAUUGUUCGAGACAGCCCAGCAGCUCUGUCCCUUAAUAAAAGCCCUGCUUUGGG